UUGUCAUCUUUAUUAUGUUCGCUCGGCCGAUCCAAGAGCACUUAAUAUUUUUCCAAUUAUUUAAGUCUGACUUUAUUUGUGUGGAGACUUUUUUAUAAGUUUGCUCAUAUAAUUCCUGACUUUCCUUUGGUAGAUAGCUUCCCAAAUAUUUUAUGGUAUCGACAGUUAUUCUGAAUGGAAUUUCUCUUUGUAUCUCUUGCUGUUGGGUUUUGUUGGUGAUGUAUAAAAAUGCUGAGGAUUUAUGGGGAUUUAUUUUGUAGCCAGCUACUUUGCUAAAAUUAUGAAUUAUUUCUAAUAGCUUUUUAGUAGAAUCUCUGGGGUUCUCUAGGUAUACCAUCAUAUCAUCUGCACAGAGUGAUAGUUUGGUUUCCUCAUUGCCUAUUCUAAUUCCUUUAAUAUCUUUCUCGACUCUUAUUGCCGAGGCUAGUGUUUCUAAUACGAUAUUAAAUAAUAAUGGUGAUAGUGGGCAACCUUGCUUCACUCCAGAUCUUACUGGGAAAGGUUCCAGUUUUUCCCCAUUGCAUAUGAUGCUUACUGAUGGUUUUAAAUAUAUGCUUCUGACUAUUUUAAGGAAAAGUCCAUUUAUUCCUAUGCUCUCAAGUGUUUUUAUUAGGAAUGGAUGUUGGAUUUUAUCAAAUGCUUUUUCUGCAUCUAUUGAGAUGAUCAUAUGGUUUUUGUUUGUUGGUUAUUGAUAUAGUCAAUUAUGCUAAUAGUUUUCCUAAUAUUGAACCAGCCCUGCAUUCCUGGUAUAAAUCCUACUUGAUCAUAGUGUAUUAUCCUGGGGAUGAUUUUCUGUAAUCUUUUUGCUAAUAUUUUAUUUAAGAUUUUAGCAUCAAUAUUCAUUAGGGAGAUUGGUCUAUAAUUUUCUUUCUCUGUUUUCAGCCUACCUGGUUUAGGUAUCAGUACCAUGUCUCUGUCAUAAAAGGAGUUUGGUAGGACUCCUUCCAUCCCUAUUUUUUCAAAUAGUUUAUUUAGCAUUGGAGUUAAUUGUUCUUUAAAUGUUUGGUAGAAUUCACAUGUAAAUCCAUCUGGUCCUGGGGAUUUUUUUUUAGGGAGUUGAUUGAUAGUUUGUUCUAUUUCUUUUUCUGAGAUGGGACUGUUUAGGAUAUUUACUUCUUCCUCUGUUAGUUUGGGCAAGCUAUAUUUUUGGAGGUAUUUUUCUAUCUCAUUUAAGUUGUCGAAUUUAUUGGCAUAAAGUUGGGCAAAGUAACUCCUAAUUAUUGCUCUAAUUUCCUCUUCGUUAGUGGCGAAUUCUCCCUUUUCAUUUUUAAGACUAACAAUUUGAUUUUCCUCUUUCCUUUUUUUAAACAGAUUUACUAAGGGUUUGUCUAUUUUGUUGGUUUUUUCAUAGAACCAACUCUUAGUUUUAUUAAUUAAUUCAAUAGUUUUUUUACUUUCAAUUUUAUUGAUCUCUCCUUUUAUUUUUAGAAUUUCAAAUUUAGUGUUUGACUGGGGGUUUUUAAUUUGUUCCUUUUCCAGCAUUUUUAGCUGCAAGCCCAAUUCAUUGACCUUCUCUUUCUCUAUUUUAUACAAAUAGGCCUCUAGAGAUAUGAAAUUUCCCCCGAUUUAUCAUUUUUAAUAAAUAGUGGAUCCUAGUCUAAGAACACUUUCAAGGCAAGUCUCCUGCCAGCAAGGAUUGGGUUAAUGAGUAGUGCACAGAGUCCUGCAUGCGAGUGCUUAGUAAAUAUUUGCCCAACUGUCAACUUGGAAGUGCACAGCACGGUGGUGUAUGAAUUACUUGGUACCAAGUAAAAUAACAAAUUUUAUCGACAUGCAAUAAAUAUAACUUUCUGUAUUAAAUAACUCGACAUGCCUGAAGGUUCCUUUUGCUGCAAUCAGUGCUGCUGGCACUGAGUUUACUCAUUUUUUUCUAGUUUGAGAGUAUUUUAUUUUUCCCAGUACACAUAUAGUUUUGAAAAUUCAUUUUUGUAACUUUGUGUCCCCAAUUCUUCUCCCUCCCUCUAUUAUCUCCCCCUCCCCCAAGACAACAAUCUGAUAUAUGAUCACUUUUUCCAUAUUUGUCAUGUUGUGUAGCACUGUUGAUGAGAUUUGACAUUUAUUCAUCAUGAAACCACACAUUAUCUCACUGAGCAUUAAUUUCAUCUUUUCCCCAAAUAGAGCCUCAAUUAGGGUCCAUGUUUUUGUUUGAUUUUUGGUAACUGCAGGGCACUGGGUGGCGCAGUGGAGAGAGCAGAUCUGGCCUCAGACACUUGACACUUCCUGGCUGUGUGACCCUGGGCAAGUCCCCGAACCCCAAUUGCUUUUUGGUAACUCCCUGGCCUUUUGUGACAUACGUCACACGGCGCUAAGUGAUGCGAUGGUUAGGGGGCGGGGCUUGGACUCUGGCAGCCUGGAGGGAAGACCAGCCAUAGGCCCUUACUAGCCGCGUGAGCUGCUCACAGCACCGGUUCCUUAUCCGCAGAGCGGGGUCCGGAGAGCGCCUGCUUCCAGGGCUGGGGGAGGAGCAAAGCCGCGAUCACAAAGCGCUCACACAAGCCCGGGCCUCAGUAAGCGCAUAAACGGCGGCUCUCGUUACUACCCACGGUGCUCAAAUCAGGUCUUGCCUCCCACCCGCUCUGUGAAACGAGGCGAUCUCGUUAGUGUCCAUUGUUAUCCAUGAAGCCCGCCCCGGAGGGAAGAAGGUCAGCCUCGGACUUGGAGACCGCGGGUUCAAAUCCCCCUCUGCCCUCGGGGUAAGGGGUCUCAGCUUUCUGAUGUGUAGCAGGGGAAGAUGCGCUCGGGAGCCCCGCCCCCCAACACUGUGAUUCUCCGGGCCUCGGCUUUCCCUCCCAAAUCCUUGCUUCAAAUGGCCCGGGUUCCCGGGGUACACCGGCAGUGCCUUCGGUAACGGGGGAGGGGCCGUGGGGCUCCCGCGCCCCCUGCUGGCCAACGGCCAGAACAGCACCGGCUGAAGGCGAAGGCGGGCACCGGCCAGAGCUGCUCGGACCUUCCCAGAGCCCUGCGGGCGCAGGUGGUGACAUCACCUCUUGUAACGGAGGUGAAGGCCGCGGCACACGUGACGGGCCUCCCUUGGAAGCGGCUGCUGAAACAGCUUCCUCCGGGGACCACCCCUUCCACCUCCCGCCUAAUCGGGGGAAUCCUUCCUGCCGCCAGAGCAACCGUGGCUCGGGCAGCUCCAGUCUGCAGGGCCGAAAUGCCUUGUUACCGACCCUUCUCGGUUAAAAAGUUAACGCCCAGGACUACAACAAAGGGAACCGAUCAUACGGAGACGCGGUCGUCAAAAUGCACCAAAAAUGAGUUUGCUGGCUUCCCCAGCUGAAGGAGCAAAGCCCAAAGGCCAGGGAAAGGUACCCAAGGAGGACGGCGAAGUUCCCCGAAUCUCCUCUUCUCCAGCUCGAGCAGCCCUAGUCCUUUAACCAGCCCCCAUCCGGGUCCUUGAGCAUCUCCCCCCCACGGACCCGCCCCCGUUCAGAACCGAACCCGAACACGUGACUUUGGAAGCCCUGACACGGAGGCCCAGCUCCUGGCAAACCCGGGCAAGUGGAAGCCUAAGCUGCAGCACAGGUUCUCAAUAAAACAGAAGCCAACAAUCCUGUACCGGGCGGCCCGAGCCAUUAGCCAAGGUCAGGAUCCUUGCUCCCCAUUCUCUUCCUUCUCCUUUCUCACACGUGUGAAACAACUUUGGGGUUCAGUAGAUAGACCAGCACAAGUCAGGAGGGCCCGAGUUCAAAUGUGGCUUCAGACAAGUCCCGGACCAGUUUCCCCAUCUAUAAAUUAAGAAUAAUAACGGCACCUACCUUGUAGGGCUGUUGGAUCAAAGGAGAUAAUAACUGUCAAGUGCAUAGCACAGUGCCUGGAAUAAAAAUGCUGCCUCCUAAUAAUUCUUGCCUGGCUCAGUUUCAGCUGCAAAAUGGGAGGUUGCCGAGAAUUAAAUGAGAUGAUUUGUCAAGUGCUUGCAGAGUUCCUGACACAUAUUAAGUAGGUACUUAAUAAUUGCUUCUUUUCUUCUUUCCUACGUACACAUGUAUGCUGCAUAGCGCAGCACAAACGCUCCAAGGUGGACUUCUAACGGCCCGAUGACUGCAGAUGUCUGAGACCCCGCAGGCCCAAAGGCGACCCCCAUCUCCCACAAAAUCUCGAGCUGCCAGGCUUAGUGGGGCUGUCCCAGGGCCACGAAGGCAGGCAGCUUCACUGAGCUUCCCUGCCACCCAACGCACCCUCCCUGAGCUAUCAGGGCUUUGGGCAGGAUGUUCUGGGAGGGCAGGCAGGGCCUCUCUCCUUGGACACUCCUAACCUCCUCCAGGGCCUCCUCUCACCAUCCUCCACCAGUGACACUAUGAAGGCCCAGGCCUCCUGCUGCUCCCUUGGUCAUUGACUUCCUCCUGUCUCUGGGAGAGUCCUCCAUAAUCUGGCUCCAACUGGUCUUUGCAUAUGGUUCCCCUUCCCAUAGAGUUUAACUAUCAUCUUAACAGGACUAUCCUUUCCUGAGAAAACAAGAAAUAACGAUGCUUAUCCAUGAAAAGUUUUCUAUAUCCUAUUCAAAUAGCUUUGUUUCUUAACUAGAAUUGUCUACAUUUAUAUCUCAAUGCCUCUGGGAUCAAAUAUAAAAAAAUUUUAAAAGCCCUUUAAAUCCACCCCCUUCUACUCUCCAGUCUUCUCACAUCUCCCUUCUCCGGCCAGUCCUCUUGAAUCUAGUGACAUCAGACUGUCCUAACUCUCAGCUCAGGCUAUUUUCUCCCUCUUCCUCCUCCAUCCAACUGCUGACCUCCCUGGUUUCCUUUAAAUCCCAGCUUACAUCCUGCCUUCUACAGGGAAGCACUCCCUGACACCUCUUCAUUCCAGUGCUUUCCCAGUCAUUCAUGUUCUACUCUUGCUUUGUGCAUAUUUGUUUUCAUGCUACCCAUUCAACCAUAAGCUCUAUGAAGGCAAAGGCUCUCUUGCCUCUUUUUAGUUUCCCCGCACUUAGCACAACUUAAAUUUGCCUGCUGAUCGACUAAAGCAUGUUUUAUUCCAAUGUAUUUGUCUUUUCCCUCUUCCAUGUUUUCCUCUUCUUGUUAGUAUGGCGAAGAACAGAAUAAGCAUUUUUGAUUGUUGCUUUUCUGCAUAAAAGAAGCAAUGUGGAAGCAAGUUAGGUUUGCAUGAAAAAUCUCUUUGUGCUUCUCCCUAACACAGCAAGUAGGAAAAAAAAUCCAUCGACUAGAGAUUGUCUUGUGAGGUUGGUCUAUCAGCUGGUUUCCUCUCUCUGGCUUCCAUGACUUUAUACGGUCCCUCCCCAUGCCUGGAACAUCUUGGUUCUGGCCUUUUAGAAUCCUCCUGAUGCUCUUCUGCCUGAAAGUACCAAACUCACUUAUUCACUGGGUCCUAGGAUCACAUGUAGGGCUGGAAGGGCCUGAGAAGUCAUCAAAGGCAAACCUCUCACUUCACAGAUGAGAGAACUGAGGCGUAAUGGGGAAAUAACACUAUAUAACCAGUGUCUCAGCAGAUUCGAACCCAGGAUCGACAACAGGCUUCCUCCAUCAGACCCCGAGCUCCUUGGAAAGGCUUGUUCCUGUUCUUCCAUCUCCCACUGCCCAGCAGACCCUUACC